CCUAAAUCCCUUUGGUGCACUCACCUCACCACUCAGACAGCUACCUCCACCACGCACUUACCUCUCCUCACUCAGCCACCAACCAGCAGCCAGUCACCACGACGGCGCCAUCACGACUCCUCCAUUUGCGUGAGCAGUCACGCAGACUCCUCUCUCUCGCACGUGCACUCCUCCUCUCCUUGUGCUGCACCACGCGCCGCCACGACUCCUCAACACGGCUCGCACAACAACAGUCUCCCUCACACUCCCUAUUAAUCCUUUGUCAAACAAACGGCACUCAAAUUGUCGCAAAAGAUCCAGCCAUGCUCUUGAGGAAAACCAAGAUGAAAAAAUUAAGCCUUUCAAACAAAUCCUUUCCUUUGGUGCUUCAAACAAGUUCAGUCAAAGCCAUAUACUUAGCUUGUGUACAUAAUGAAAUUGAAGGACCAAGACAGUAGCUUUCCAAGUCACUAAUGAAUUACCAAGAGUGAAAGCGUAACCUGUGGUAACUGAUCUUGUAGCAUCCAAACUAGCCGCAUAUAUAUACUUUUAAAUAAAUAACACGAUAACACCAUGUAUAAGCUCCAUAUAUAAGCCCAACAUUUGAUUAUUGUGCAUGACUCAUCUUCUAUAAGCAGCCAAGGUGAUAUUGUAAUUUUGCCUCGUGUUUAUUUUAA